rnacentral:rRNA from 1 species
AGAGUUUGAUCAUGGCUCAGGAUGAACGCUGGCGGCGUGGUUAAGGCAUGCAAGUCGAACGGACCUCUUUUUUCCCGAGAAUGAGAUUACAUCAAGUUCAAAGGUCGUUAGAGGUUAGUGGCGAACGAGGUAGUAACACGUGGGUACGUCCCCUAAAGUCGUGAACAACUCCGCGAAAGCGGAGCUAAUACACGAUGGUCUCGCAAGAGUAAAGUUUUAACGCUUUAGGAACGGCCUGCGGAGUAUCAGCUAGUUGGCAGUGUAAUGGACUACCAAGGCUAUGACGCUUAGGGGAGGUGAGAGCCUGACCCCCACCGAUGGGACUGAGACACGGCCCAUACACCUACGGGUGGCUGCAGUCAAGAACCUUCCACAAUGGACGAAAGUCUGAUGGAGCGACGCCGCGUGACUGAUGAAGUGCUUCGGCAUGUAAAGGUCUUUUAUAGGGGAAGAAAUUAUUGACGGUACCCUAAGAAUAAGGAGCUCCCAAUCUCGUGCCAGCAGGAGCGGUAAUACGAGAGCUUCAAGCGUUAUCCGGAAUCACUGGGCGUAAAGGGUGCGUAGGCGGUUAUGUUAGUCGUUCGUUAAAUCCCCGAGCUUAACUUGGGAACCGCGAGCGAAACGGCAUGACUAGAGAGUGUGAGAGGUAUACAGAACUCAUGGUGUAGGGGUGAAAUCCGUUGAUAUCAUGGGGAAUACNNNNNGCGAAGGCAGUAUACUGGCACACAUCUGACGCUCAAGCACGAAAGCGUGGGUAGCGAAUGGGAUUAGAUACCCUAGUAGUCC